rnacentral:rRNA from 1 species
AGCACCACAACAGGUGGAGCCUGCGGUUUAAUCGGACUCAACGCCGGGAAACUCACCAGAUAAGACAGCUGAAUGAUAGUCGGGCUGAAGACUCUACUUUGACUAGCUGAGAGGAGGUGCAUGGCCGUCGUCAGUUCGUACUGUGAAGCAUCCUGUUAAGUCAGGCAACGAGCGAGACCCACGCCAACAGUUGCCAGCUCGUCCUCCGGGAUGGUGGGGACACUGUUGGGACCGCCUCUGCUAAAGAGGAGGAAGGAAUGGGCAACGGUAGGUCAGUAUGCCCCGAAUAUCCCGGGCUACACGCGAGCUACAAUGGUUGGUACAAUGGGUAUCUACCCCGAAAGGGGACGGGAAUCUCCUAAAACCAAUCUUAGUUCGGAUUGAGGGCUGCAACUCGCCCUCAUGAAGCUGGAAUCCGUGGUAAUCGCGUUUCAACAGAACGCGGUGAAUACGUCCCUGCUCCUU